rnacentral:lncRNA from 1 species
AAUUCACCUGUCUCAGCCUCCUGAGUAGCUGGGACUACAGGUAUUAAUCAUCUUUAGGAUUAGAACCUAAAGCGUAAGUCUAAUUGUGCCCAGAAUUGCUUCCUUCCAGUGGGUUCCUGGUCUCGUUGACUUCAAGAAUGAAGCUGCAGACCCUCACAGUAUUACUCUAGGAAAAUUUACAACCUGAAGCAAGGAGAAAUAAGAUUUCUCUUCUAAAUGCUGAAUUUGAAAGGCUUCAUUGGUAUUGCAUUGGAUCCAUAAAUUAGUUGGAAAAAACUGCCACCUUUAACAGUUCUGAGCCUUCCAAUCCAUGAGCAUGGUGCAGAGGAUGAGAAGUUCAAAAUCAAGGCACUGGCUGGAGUGCAGUGGCAGGAUCUCGGCUCACUGUGACCUCCGCCUCCCAGGUGAUCUGCCUGCCUUGGCCUCCCAAGGUUUUGAGAUUACAGAAGUAAGCCACCGCUCCUGGUGUGAAUGAAAACUUAUCUCACUAUCUCAAGUGAAUAAAACCAACUUUUGAUUAAUGACAACUUUA